rnacentral:snRNA from 1 species
GUUCUUCCUACGGCAGAACAUAUACUAAAAUUGGAACGAUACAGAGAAGUUUAGCAUGGCCCCGCGCAAGGAUCACACGCAAAAUCGUGAAACGUUCCACAUUUUU